rnacentral:lncRNA from 12 species
UAUGCAUUGCAUCAUCUAUAAAAAUAGAAAUGUGUAGUAAUCUUUAGCUAUUUAAAUUAUCUGAAAAUAGAUACAAAAUCUGCAUAAUUUGUGUGCAUCAUGGUGUUUUGCUAGUGAGUUUUGGUCAUGAGUGUCUUUAUAUGGCAGAAAGCAUUCAAUUUAUGGUGACAAUCAUGAAGUAUUUGUUUUUAGCUGAGUUUCUGUCGGUCACAAAAUUCCAUUUUUUUGCUCCCUGUGCAAAUAUGUGUUUUUCCCUGACCUCUAAGACUUUGAGCCUGCUAGAGACAAAUUUUUCACAGUAUAAAGAAAGGUGAAAGGAACUGAUUUCCUACAAGUUAUGUGAAAGAUGGGUGGGUAAAGAAUUCAGUUCAGCUGAGACAGACACAGAGCCAGCACAGCUCUGGGAAUGAUGGAGCUGGGACAGACAGACAACCAGCACAGCUCUGGGAAUGGUGGAGCUGGGACAGACAGACAGACAGACAGACAGCACAGCUCUGGGAAUGGUGGAGCUGGGACAGACAGACAGCACAGCUCUGGGAAUGGUGGAGCUGGGACAGACAGACAGCACAGCUCUGGGAAUGGUGGAGCUGGGACAGACAGACAGCACAGCUCUGGGAAUGGUGGAGCUGGGACAGACAGACAGCACAGCUCUGGGAAUGGUGGAGCUGGGACAGACAGACAGCACAGCUCUGGGAAUGGUGGAGCUGGGACAGACAGACAGCACAGCUCUGGGAAUGGUGGAGCUGGGACAGACAGACAGCACAGCUCUGGGAAUGGUGGAGCUGGGACAGACAGACAGCACAGCUCUGGGAAUGGUGGAGCUGGGACAGACAGACAGCACAGCUCUGGGAAUGGUGGAGCUGGGACAGACAGACAGCACAGCUCUGGGAAUGGUGGGGCUGGGACAGACAGACAGCACAGCUCUGGGAAUGGUGGGGCUGGGACAGACAGACAGCACAGCUCUGGGAAUGGUGGGGCUGGGACAGACAGACAGCACAGCUCUGGGAAUGGUGGGGCUGGGACAGACAGACAGCACAGCUCUGGGAAUGGUGGGGCUGGGACAGACAGACAGCACAGCUCUGGGAAUGGUGGGGCUGGGACAGACAGACAGCACAGCUCUGGGAAUGGUGGGGCUGGGACAGACAGACAGCACAGCUCUGGGAAUGGUGGGGCUGGGACAGACAGACAGCACAGCUCUGGGAAUGGUGGGGCUGGGACAGACAGACAGCACAGCUCUGGGAAUGGUGGGGCUGGGACAGACAGACAGCACAGCUCUGGGAAUGGUGGGGCUGGGACAGACAGACAGCACAGCUCUGGGAAUGGUGGGGCUGGGACAGACAGACAGCACAGCUCUGGGAAUGGUGGGGCUGGGACAGACAGACAGCACAGCUCUGGGAAUGGUGGGGCUGGGACAGACAGACAGCACAGCUCUGGGAAUGGUGGGGCUGGGACAGACAGACAGCACAGCUCUGGGAAUGGUGGGGCUGGGACAGACAGACAGCACAGCUCUGGGAAUGGUGGGGCUGGGACAGACAGACAGCACAGCUCUGGGAAUGGUGGGGCUGGGACAGACAGACAGCACAGCUCUGGGAAUGGUGGGGCUGGGACAGACAGACAGCACAGCUCUGGGAAUGGUGGGGCUGGGACAGACAGACAGCACAGCUCUGGGAAUGGUGGGGCUGGGACAGACAGACAGCACAGCUCUGGGAAUGGUGGGGCUGGGACAGACAGACAGCACAGCUCUGGGAAUGGUGGGGCUGGGACAGACAGACAGCACAGCUCUGGGAAUGGUGGGGCUGGGACAGACAGACAGCACAGCUCUGGGAAUGGUGGGGCUGGGACAGACAGACAGCACAGCUCUGGGAAUGGUGGGGCUGGGACAGACAGACAGCACAGCUCUGGGAAUGGUGGGGCUGGGACAGACAGACAGCACAGCUCUGGGAAUGGUGGGGCUGGGACAGACAGACAGCACAGCUCUGGGAAUGGUGGGGCUGGGACAGACAGACAGCACAGCUCUGGGAAUGGUGGGGCUGGGACAGACAGACAGCACAGCUCUGGGAAUGGUGGGGCUGGGACAGACAGACAGCACAGCUCUGGGAAUGGUGGGGCUGGGACAGACAGACAGCACAGCUCUGGGAAUGGUGGGGCUGGGACAGACAGACAGCACAGCUCUGGGAAUGGUGGGGCUGGGACAGACAGACAGCACAGCUCUGGGAAUGGUGGGGCUGGGACAGACAGACAGCACAGCUCUGGGAAUGGUGGGGCUGGGACAGACAGACAGCACAGCUCUGGGAAUGGUGGGGCUGGGACAGACAGACAGCACAGCUCUGGGAAUGGUGGGGCUGGGACAGACAGACAGCACAGCUCUGGGAAUGGUGGGGCUGGGACAGACAGACAGCACAGCUCUGGGAAUGGUGGGGCUGGGACAGACAGACAGCACAGCUCUGGGAAUGGUGGGGCUGGGACAGACAGACAGCACAGCUCUGGGAAUGGUGGGGCUGGGACAGACAGACAGCACAGCUCUGGGAAUGGUGGGGCUGGGACAGACAGACAGCACAGCUCUGGGAAUGGUGGGGCUGGGACAGACAGACAGCACAGCUCUGGGAAUGGUGGGGCUGGGACAGACAGACAGCACAGCUCUGGGAAUGGUGGGGCUGGGACAGACAGACAGCACAGCUCUGGGAAUGGUGGGGCUGGGACAGACAGACAGCACAGCUCUGGGAAUGGUGGGGCUGGGACAGACAGACAGCACAGCUCUGGGAAUGGUGGGGCUGGGACAGACAGACAGCACAGCUCUGGGAAUGGUGGGGCUGGGACAGACAGACAGCACAGCUCUGGGAAUGGUGGGGCUGGGACAGACAGACAGCACAGCUCUGGGAAUGGUGGGGCUGGGACAGACAGACAGCACAGCUCUGGGAAUGGUGGGGCUGGGACAGACAGACAGCACAGCUCUGGGAAUGGUGGGGCUGGGACAGACAGACAGCACAGCUCUGGGAAUGGUGGGGCUGGGACAGACAGACAGCACAGCUCUGGGAAUGGUGGGGCUGGGACAGACAGACAGCACCGGCAAUGCUGGAGCUGGGACAGACAGACAGACAGACUGAGCUCGCUCGCGUGCUGCGGUGCUGCCGUGACAGUCCCUGCGCACACUUGACCCAAACAAGACGUGUUUGCAGAGUAUCCUUGCAGUGUCUCUGUGGCACAAUGCAGGAAGUUAUUGAUUGUCCAGCUGGAUUAAAUUGAAGCUUCUGAGUGUAAUGGGACAGCUCUCCGUCCCUUCCCAUCCCCUGGAGUUUUCACGCCAGAGCACAUUUUCCAUGACUCCCUGAUUGUUUGAACGUCAGGAUAUUGCAUAAGCCUCUCUUGGGGAAGAUGGAAUAUACAGAAGCAGGGGGAUGACCUGUGCCCACCCACAAGGGUGGCUGCAGCUUCACAUGCAGGGUCAGCGAUGAGGAACACCGGAAGGAAAAAGCCUGUGGGCAUUUCAGUGCUAAGCAGUGGAUGUUUUAGUACUCACAGGCAGCUUCUCACGCUGUUUCUGCAGUGACUGACUGCAGGAUGUGGUGCAGCUCCUGACCCCCCUCUCCCCUCAUUUGCAGUAGAGCUCUCCUUUUUCCCCUUGGUAGAACGCAACGGGCAGGAGAGAAGAAGAUAAGGAAGUGCAGCACAGGGUUUGGGGUUUUGUUGGUUUUUUUUUCAAAAUGUCUUUGCCAAUAGAAUAUUAGAUGCAGCAGUCACUAAAGAAAAUUGUCAAUAAUCGGGCUAAGGUGUUACAGAGUUCCCUUUGGAGGAGUAGCUUUGGUGGCAGUACAAUAUGACAGGCUUCAUCCCAGACGAGGACAGGUCAAUUUAAAUUUAAAUGCUAAAUUUACAUAACUGCUGCUGAGGAGGAGCAUCCCCGGGUCACCCAGCACUCCCGUCUAAAUAAUCUGAGUUUUGAGCCUUGUCCAAAUGGAGGAAAUGCAGUUCAGCGUUGUGGUGGGAGCCAGCGAGUCGGUGGCCCAGCUAACUGCAGUGUGAGGACAAGGAGCUCAGGGUUGCUGUGGAUGCAGGAUUGGCUUGGUCCCGUCCUUGGCAGUCACUAUCUGUUUGCAGCAUUGUCUCCCCGUGUCUGUUGGGGGCUGCCCACUGACAAGCUGGGGGAAGAGCAUCUCCUGUUGGGAACCAUCUCCCCUUCAGGAAUGCCUGACUGUGAGGCAGAGAGAGGAGUAGCCCUGAUGGGUACUAUCUACCACUAUAAAUCAUUUACUCGAGAUAAAAUUUUGAUAAGCAUUAUAGAGAAAUGACCUCACUGUUUUAUUAUUUCAGUUAAUGUGAGCUGUCACUCUCUGUUUAUUGCCCCUGUAGUUAAAGUUUAUGGAAGUUCCUCAAAGGGAUGCCCUUGAAUCUGGGACUUAAUGACUUCUCCCUCUGCUGAAAUUACAGCUUCUAAUUGGAGCAGCUUGGAUUAAUUUCAUUUUAAGCAUGAGUAAUCAUAUACAGCCUUCAUGUAUCAGAACUCAAAUGCACACACCUACAGUGUUAAAAGCCAAGAACUCCCGGCCAAUGACACACCUCAGGGCUUGGAGAGGGGUUUGAAAAUCCUGCUGAUAAAUGUUCCCAAGUUAUUAGGAAAAGCCUUUUGGCCCAGAGGGUGAAGCACUGAGCAGCUCCCCAGGGAAUGGUCCCAGCCCCAGGCUGGCAGAGCUCUGGGAGCGUUUGGACACUGCAAAAAGCACGUGGAGGGACUCCUGGGGUGUCCUGUGCAGGGACAGGAGCUGGACUGCAGUGAUCCUUAGUGGUGCCUUCCAGCCUAGAAUAUCCUGUGGUUCCAUGAUUUCGUAUAAAUGAAUGCACCUACUAAAAAGCAGUGAUCCUCAGUGGUGCCUUCCAGCCUAGAAUAUCCUGUGGUUCCAUGAUUUCGUAUAAAUGAAUGCACCUACUAAAAAGCCCAAAUCUUUAGGGUUUGUGAGUUUGAAGCUUUCUCCCCACGUGUCACUCACAGGUAUAAUUAGUGGAUUUGGUCUGAUUUGCUUUAUUUUCUCCUCCAAGUGUAAGGGAGGAUCUCGAUGUAGUUCUGGGAAGGCCACUGACGGGUAUUUCCAAGAGAGAACCUCAUCUCUUGUAAAACUUACUUAGACUUGCAAGCACUGAAAGUUGAAUUAAUUGAGAAAUGUUCAGCUUGAUCUCAGAUUGCAUUUCAGGACCAAGAAGAUGCAGACCUGAGUUUCAGUGGUGGAUGUUCAAAGAAUGGAGAAGGUCUUACUCAUUCCAUGCAAAAUAAAGAUGCCUCAUUUCAAACAGCAGCAGGUCAAGAAAUGGAGGGUUCUAAAUCAAAUUGCAUCCCGAUUUAUUCAAACUGAAAGGUUCUUGAAAAGUGAGGGAAGCCUAAAAAAUCUGAAGUAAGCGACAGGUCUCCCAUGAAGCCACCUGCACACAAGAAGUGUGGGCGCUGAGCUGGCUGUCCUCGGGCGUGUUGGAGGUGUGGGGCCUGUGGCAGUGUCUGCAGGGGGACAGAAGUGUGUGCUCUGCUUCUGGAGAUGAUGGCGCUGGCACAGCUCCACUCCCAGUCUGCUCUGGUCAGGCUGGCUCGCAAUACCGUGCUUCAGGCCUUGCUUGCCUUUGUUCUUGAUUUUGUUGAAACUGCCGCUGCAAAAAAAAAAAAAAUUGUAACAGAUUCUCCUCAUAUUUCUGCAGAGGUAUUUAAAUCUUGUGUGAAGGAGGGGCUCAAAAAAUUCCAAAUUUGACUUGCCAUAUUUCCCUUACUUAGUGUUGGUUUUUUUUGUUUGUUUUUUAAUGUGGCUGCUUUGGCGAGCUGUGUGGGCCACACCAGGUCUGUGUCUCUGCCAAGCACACGGUGCACACCUCGUACACCAGUGGGAAUCAUUAACCCGCUUGCAUUGUAAAACAGGUUAUCUCCCACACAAAUGGGUGAGCAGUCAGGGGGAUGUGUCUUAGGUAGAUGGUUGAUAAUCCUCUUUAUCAAGGUGGUUGGGUAAAGCACUGCAUACUUUGGCCUUAAGUGAGAGGGGCUCUGAGUCGUGUUCAGGUGUUGAGCCCAGCAGCACCUUGAAA